rnacentral:rRNA from 1 species
AACGCUGGCGGCAGGCCUAACACAUGCAAGUCGAGCGGUAACAGAACCAGCUUGCUGGUUGCUGACGAGCGGCGGACGGGUGCGUAACACGUAGGAAUCUGCCCGGUAGUGGGGGAUAGCCCGGAGAAAUUCGGAUUAAUUCCGCAUACGCCCUAAGGGGGAAAGCAGGGGAUCCAUUCUUUUCGGAGAAGGGACCUUGCGCUAUCGGAUGAGCCUGCGUCGGAUUAGCUAGUUGGUGGGGUAAAGGCCUACCAAGGCAACGAUCCGUAGCUGGUCUGAGAGGAUGAUCAGCCACACUGGGACUGAGACACGGCCCAGACUCCUACGGGAGGCAGCAGUGGGGAAUAUUGCACAAUGGGCGAAAGCCUGAUGCAGCCAUGCCGCGUGUGUGAAGAAGGCUCUAGGGUUGUAAAGCACUUUCAGCGAGGAGGAAAGGUUGUAGAUUAAUACUCUGCAACUGUGACGUUACUCGCAGAAGAAGCACCGGCUAACUCCGUGCCAGCAGCCCGCGGUAAUACGGAGGGUGCGAGCGUUAAUCGGAAUUACUGGGCGUAAAGCGUGCGUAGGCGGCUCGCUA